ACUAAGCGUACACGGUGGAUGCCCUGGCAGUCAGAGGCGAUGAAGGACGUGCUAAUCUGCGAUAAGCGUCGGUGAGGUGAUAUGAACCGUUAUAACCGGCGAUUUCCGAAUGGGGAAACCCAGUGUGUUUCGACACACUAUCAUUAACUGAAUCCAUAGGUUAAUGAGGCGAACCGGGGGAACUGAAACAUCUAAGUACCCCGAGGAAAAGAAAUCAACCGAGAUUCCCCCAGUAGCGGCGAGCGAACGGGGAGGAGCCCAGAGCCUGAAUCAGUGUGUGUGUUAGUGGAAGCGUCUGGAAAGGCGCGCGAUACAGGGUGACAGCCCCGUACACAAAAAUGCACAUAUUGUGAGCUCGAUGAGUAGGGCGGGACACGUGGUAUCCUGUCUGAAUAUGGGGGGACCAUCCUCCAAGGCUAAAUACUCCUGACUGACCGAUAGUGAACCAGUACCGUGAGGGAAAGGCGAAAAGAACCCCGGCGAGGGGAGUGAAAAAGAACCUGAAACCGUGUACGUACAAGCAGUGGGAGCCUCUUAAUGGGGUGACUGCGUACCUUUUGUAUAAUGGGUCAGCGACUUAUAUUCUGUAGCAAGGUUAACCGAAUAGGGGAGCCGAAGGGAAACCGAGUCUUAACUGGGCGUUAAGUUGCAGGGUAUAGACCCGAAACCCGGUGAUCUAGCCAUGGGCAGGUUGAAGGUUGGGUAACACUAACUGGAGGACCGAACCGACUAAUGUUGAAAAAUUAGCGGAUGACUUGUGGCUGGGGGUGAAAGGCCAAUCAAACCGGGAGAUAGCUGGUUCUCCCCGAAAGCUAUUUAGGUAGCGCCUCGUGAAUUCAUCUCCGGGGGUAGAGCACUGUUUCGGCAAGGGGGUCAUCCCGACUUACCAACCCGAUGCAAACUGCGAAUACCGGAGAAUGUUAUCACGGGAGACACACGGCGGGUGCUAACGUCCGUCGUGAAGAGGGAAACAACCCAGACCGCCAGCUAAGGUCCCAAAGUCAUGGUUAAGUGGGAAACGAUGUGGGAAGGCCCAGACAGCCAGGAUGUUGGCUUAGAAGCAGCCAUCAUUUAAAGAAAGCGUAAUAGCUCACUGGUCGAGUCGGCCUGCGCGGAAGAUGUAACGGGGCUAAACCAUGCACCGAAGCUGCGGCAGCGACGCUUAUGCGUUGUUGGGUAGGGGAGCGUUCUGUAAGCCUGCGAAGGUGUGCUGUGAGGCAUGCUGGAGGUAUCAGAAGUGCGAAUGCUGACAUAAGUAACGAUAAAGCGGGUGAAAAGCCCGCUCGCCGGAAGACCAAGGGUUCCUGUCCAACGUUAAUCGGGGCAGGGUGAGUCGACCCCUAAGGCGAGGCCGAAAGGCGUAGUCGAUGGGAAACAGGUUAAUAUUCCUGUACUUGGUGUUACUGCGAAGGGGGGACGGAGAAGGCUAUGUUGGCCGGGCGACGGUUGUCCCGGUUUAAGCGUGUAGGCUGGUUUUCCAGGCAAAUCCGGAAAAUCAAGGCUGAGGCGUGAUGACGAGGCACUACGGUGCUGAAGCAACAAAUGCCCUGCUUCCAGGAAAAGCCUCUAAGCAUCAGGUAACAUCAAAUCGUACCCCAAACCGACACAGGUGGUCAGGUAGAGAAUACCAAGGCGCUUGAGAGAACUCGGGUGAAGGAACUAGGCAAAAUGGUGCCGUAACUUCGGGAGAAGGCACGCUGAUAUGUAGGUGAAGCGACUUGCUCGUGGAGCUGAAAUCAGUCGAAGAUACCAGCUGGCUGCAACUGUUUAUUAAAAACACAGCACUGUGCAAACACGAAAGUGGACGUAUACGGUGUGACGCCUGCCCGGUGCCGGAAGGUUAAUUGAUGGGGUUAGCGGUAACGCGAAGCUCUUGAUCGAAGCCCCGGUAAACGGCGGCCGUAACUAUAACGGUCCUAAGGUAGCGAAAUUCCUUGUCGGGUAAGUUCCGACCUGCACGAAUGGCGUAAUGAUGGCCAGGCUGUCUCCACCCGAGACUCAGUGAAAUUGAACUCGCUGUGAAGAUGCAGUGUACCCGCGGCAAGACGGAAAGACCCCGUGAACCUUUACUAUAGCUUGACACUGAACAUUGAGCCUUGAUGUGUAGGAUAGGUGGGAGGCUUUGAAGUGUGGACGCCAGUCUGCAUGGAGCCGACCUUGAAAUACCACCCUUUAAUGUUUGAUGUUCUAACGUUGGCCCGUAAUCCGGGUUGCGGACAGUGUCUGGUGGGUAGUUUGACUGGGGCGGUCUCCUCCUAAAGAGUAACGGAGGAGCACGAAGGUUGGCUAAUCCUGGUCGGACAUCAGGAGGUUAGUGCAAUGGCAUAAGCCAGCUUGACUGCGAGCGUGACGGCGCGAGCAGGUGCGAAAGCAGGUCAUAGUGAUCCGGUGGUUCUGAAUGGAAGGGCCAUCGCUCAACGGAUAAAAGGUACUCCGGGGAUAACAGGCUGAUACCGCCCAAGAGUUCAUAUCGACGGCGGUGUUUGGCACCUCGAUGUCGGCUCAUCACAUCCUGGGGCUGAAGUAGGUCCCAAGGGUAUGGCUGUUCGCCAUUUAAAGUGGUACGCGAGCUGGGUUUAGAACGUCGUGAGACAGUUCGGUCCCUAUCUGCCGUGGGCGCUGGAGAACUGAGGGGGGCUGCUCCUAGUACGAGAGGACCGGAGUGGACGCAUCACUGGUGUUCGGGUUGUCAUGCCAAUGGCACUGCCCGGUAGCUAAAUGCGGAAGAGAUAAGUGCUGAAAGCAUCUAAGCACGAAACUUGCCCCGAGAUGAGUUCUCCCUGAGACUUUAAGUCUCCUGAAGGAACGUUGAAGACGACGACGUUGAUAGGCCGGGUGUGUAAGCGCAGCGAUGCGUUGAGCUAACCGGUACUAAUGAACCGUGAGGCUUAACC
rnacentral:rRNA from 1 species